rnacentral:tRNA from 1 species
GGAGAAAUACCCAAGAGGCCGAAGGGGCUCCCCUGCUAAGGGAGUAGGUCGGGGAACCGGCGCGAGGGUUCAAAUCCCUCUUUCUCCGCCA